GGAUUUGCAUGUAUUGUAGAAAUUCCGUUUUCUAUACGAUUAAUAUCUUCUUUAUCUUCUUUCGAAGGCAAAAAGAUUUUCAAAUCUCAUAAUUUACGAUCAAUUCAUUCAACAUUUCCUUUUUUAGAGGACAAUUUUUCACAUCUAAAUUAUGUAUUAGAUAUACUAAUACCCUACCCCGUUCAUCUGGAAAUCUUGGUUCAAACUCUUCGCUAUUGGGUAAAAGAUGCCUCUUCU
rnacentral:misc_RNA from 1 species